rnacentral:rRNA from 1 species
AUUGAACGCUGGCGGCAGGCCUAACACAUGCAAGUCGAGCGAGCGGCGGACGGGUGAGUAAUGUCUGGGAAACUGCCUGAUGGAGGGGGAUAACUACUGGAAACGGUAGCUAAUACCGCAUACCAUCAGAUGUGCCCAGAUGGGAUUGGCUCGUCGGUGGGGUAACGGCUCACCUAGGCGACGAUCCCGAGCUGGUCUGAGAGGAUGACCAGCUACACGGGAACUGAGACACGGUCCAAACUCCUACGGGAGGCAGCAGUGGGGAAUAGUGCACAAUUGGCGCAAGCCUGAUGCAGCCAUGCCGCGUGUGUGAAGGAGGCCUUCGGGUUGUAAAGCACUUUCAGCGGGGAGGCGUUACCCGCAGAAGAAGCACCGGCUAACUCCGUGCCAGCAGCCGCGGUAAUAC